rnacentral:rRNA from 1 species
UUUAAAAUAAUAAUUUUUCAAAAUAUUUCAAUUUUCUUUUACAAUACUAUUAAACUAUAAUUAAAAUUAUUUUUUCUUUAAACAAUACUAAAACUUUUUUUUUAUAAAAUUAUUUUUAAUACUAAAACAAAAAAAUAAACAAAAUUAAUAAAUAAAAUUUAA